GGCCGCCUCACCGCGGGGUCCCCUUCCGCCUCUGCUCCAGCGCCGGCAGCCUCUCCUCCCGGGCCUGCGCGUGCCGGGCCCCCGCCCUGUGCGCCGCCUCUGUGGCCAAGAUGUCGAUCUGCGCGUAGCGGGAAGCACCGGCCCCUGCGAGCAGCCCCAGGUGCCCUGCCCCUCCCAGGCAGGAUGCCCCUCCCCCUCGGCUGUCCUCCCGGCUCACCCCAUCUGCUUCAGGGACCCUCUUUGGACCGUCUAAGAACGUAUUACAAACAGUGUCAGGUGUGAAGAGCAACAGACGGCUUCAGCCAGCAGUGAAGGUACAAAGCGGAACGGUUACAGCUGAGCUGUGUGCGGGGCGCAGCCGGCCGGAGUCCAGAUCGGACCGACACGGGCCUCGCCUUCCACGCGGGCGUCUGGAAUCGUAGCGCGAACGGACAAACCAGGCCACGCAGCCAAAAUCCAUGCAGGAGAGCAGGCCGAGCCGACCGCGGAAGGCGUGGAGGAAGCGCGACGCCCGCAGGCGGCCCACCAGCAGUGCCUGGGGCCCCUGAAUGCGAACGCCAGCCCGAGCCCCGCGUCCUCUGGUCCUGACCACCAGCCCCUGGCUCAGCCAGCAGGGCGGAGGGGGGCGCCCGGCAAGUGACCCCGACCCUGCCCUUCCCCGCCCGCCCCUCCCCCUGGAGCGCGCAGGUUCAGAAAAUGGCGGCUGGGAGUGAGGCGUCGGGGUCCCGGGGUCCCGAGAGCCAGACCCCCAGCAGUCCCCGGGGCCUCCUGGGCCUCAGCAAACCCCCCAAAGGACAGACCACCUGUGCGCGCAAGCAGGUGAAGCCCCUCGGACACAGCGCAACGCGCAGGGAGGUUAGUCUCAGGCUCCUCUUUGAUUGGGCCCCUGGUCCUUGGGCUCUGCCCCGGACCCGGCCCCCCACCUUCCAGAACGCACUUCCAGCUGCGGCCCUCCCUGCAGGCUGGACCCCCAGGCCCCCAGGCCGCCCCACGGCACGAGGGCAGCCCCACGAGG